rnacentral:rRNA from 1 species
AUGGAGGUUGCGACGGCGACGGAGGCGUCGGCGCCGGCGGCGAGCGGCGGGGCGAGCAGGCGGGGCCACCCGUUCCCGUGGCUCGACGUGGCCAUCUCGGAGCCCUACUACUUCCUCCACCUCAUCGCCUUCUUCUCCUACUUCGCGGCCCGCACCACGGCGCCCGCGGCCGAGGACGACCCCGAGCUCCACAGCCGCCUCAUCCGACGGGAGAUCCAGGCGGUGCUCGUGUUCCUGGUGCUCUUCACAGUGAAGAUUGUGAAGGAGGAACACUGGGAAACAUUCAUCGCUGAUUCAUUGCUCUAUGCAAAGGGCCUCUUGUUGGUUGUUACUUUUGUUAUCGAUUAUUGGUUGACCGUUGGCUACUUACUGGGAUUUAUUGUUAUAUAUGCUAUGGCUCAACAGCCACCUUAUGAUGGCCUAGGUCAUUUAAAUCAUUUGACCCCGUUGCAACUGGAAAGCCUGCUAACUGAAGAGCCAACAACACGAUUUUGGCUGGUUGAGUUCCGGACUUCCUUUUUAACACCAUGUAUACAAGCAAGCAGUGUCAUGCCUGAACUCUCUAACAUAUACUCCAACAAGAACAUUUCUUUUGGAUUAGUUGAUCUUGGGCAUUUUCCAAAUGCUGCAGCGAGGUUUGGAAUAUCCAUGUGGGAUCAUCUUCCCACUUAUAUACUGUUUGACAAGGCGACCGAAGUUGCUCGGCUCCCAGAAAUUGGAAACGGAACAAAAGUAUUCGUGCCAAAAGUUACCAAGAAGCUUCUCUGCCAGCACUUUGAUCUUGACAGGCGACUGAUUGAAUUCCUGUCUACCUAG